GGAGAGGUGGCCGAGUGGCCGAAGGCGGCACAUUGCUAAUGUGUUGUAGGUGAAAGCCUACCGGGAGUUCGAAUCUCCCCCUCUCCG
rnacentral:tRNA from 1 species